UGCUCGAAAGAGAGCCGUAACACAGGUGCUGCAUGGCUGUCGUCAGCUCGUGUCGUGAGAUGUUGGGUUAAGUCCCGCAACGAGCGCAACCCUUGUCAUUAGUUGCCAUCAUUUGGUUGGGCACUCUAAUGAGACUGCCGGUGACAAACCGGAGGAAGGUGGGGAUGACGUCAAGUCCUCAUGGCCCUUAUGGGUAGGGCUUCACACGUCAUACAAUGGUCGGUACAGAGGGUUGCCAACCCGCGAGGGGGAGCUAAUCCCACAAAGCCGAUCGUAGUCCGGAUCGCAGUCUGCAACUCGACUGCGUGAAGUCGGAAUCGCUAGUAAUCGUGGAUCAGCAUGUCACGGUGAAUACGUUCCCGGGUCUU
rnacentral:rRNA from 1 species